rnacentral:rRNA from 1 species
CCUACGGGAGGCAGCAGUGGGGAAUAUUGCACAAUGGGGGAAACCCUGAUGCAGCAACGCCGCGUGAGUGAAGAAGUAUUUCGGUAUGUAAAGCUCUAUCAGCAGGGAAGAAGAUGACGGUACCUGAAUAAGAAGCCCCGGCUAACUACGUGCCAGCAGCCGCGGUAAUACGUAGGGGGCAAGCGUUAUCCGGAUUUACUGGGUGUAAAGGGAGCGCAGGCGGGCCUUUAAGCCGGCGGUGAAAUCGCGGGGCUCAACCCCGCCGAGCCGUCGGAACUGGGGGCCUUGAGUGCGGCGGAGGCAUGCGGAAUGCGCGGUGUAGCGGUGAAAUGCAUAGAUAUCGCGCAGAACCCCGAUUGCGAAGGCAGCGUGCCGUGCCGCCACUGACGCUGAGGCACGAAAGCGCGGGGAUCGAACAGGAUUAGAUACCCCGGUAGUC